rnacentral:rRNA from 1 species
AGAAGCACCGGCUAACUACGUGCCAGCAGCCGCGGUGAUACGUAGGGUGCGAGCGUUGUCCGGAUUUAUUGGGCGUAAAGGGCUCGUAGGUGGUUGAUCGCGUCGGAAGUGUAAUCUUGGGGCUUAACCCUGAGCGUGCUUUCGAUACGGGUUGACUUGAGGAAGGUAGGGGAGAAUGGAAUUCCUGGUGGAGCGGUGGAAUGCGCAGAUAUCAGGAGGAACACCAGUGGCGAAGGCGGUUCUCUGGGCCUUUCCUGACGCUGAGGAGCGAAAGCGUGGGGAGCGAACAGGCUUAGAUACCCUGGUAGUCCACGCUGUAAACGGUGGGUACUAGGUGUGGGUCCAUUCCACGGGUUCCGUGCCGUAGCUAACGCUUUAAGUACCCCGCCUGGGGAGUACGGCCGCAAGGCUAAAACUCAAAGGAAUUGACGGACUCAAAGGAAUUGA